rnacentral:rRNA from 1 species
UGCGUAGACGGUUAUUUAAGUCGGGUGUGAAAGCCCCGGGCUCAACCUGGGAAUUGCAUUCGAGACUGAAUAGCUAGGGUACGGUAGAGGGAAGCGGAAUUUCCGGUGUAGCGGUGAAAUGCGUAGAUAUCGGAAGGAACAUCAGUGGCGAAAGCGGCUUCCUGGACCAGUACCGACGUUCAGGCACGAAAGCGUGGGGAGGCAAAACA